UUUCAGAGUUCCACAUUAAAUUCUCUGGGUUCUCUCCUCCCCUCCGUGAUGACCCGGCAAAGAUGGGGAACUCGGAAAACAAAUUGAAUUUUGAAUUCAGUCGAAAGCACGGAUGAGGGCCAGGCAGAAUUAAUAAAAGUACCAAAUAAAUAAAACAGAAGAAGAAGAAAGGAAAAAAAGAAGAACCAAACAAAAAGGAUAGUGACCAAGCCGGAUGCAAACAGCUGCCCCUGAGCCCGGCCCGCUGGUUCCGUGCGCGGGCAAGGGCUCCACAUCCGAGCCUCCUUAAGAGUAGGAGGAGCUCCCGGGCCUCUGUCAGGCUCCUUAAGCCGUUCCUUUCAAGCCCUGAAUGCCUGAAUGUGAGCUGCCCACCACCCUCCCCGCCCUCCCCCACUCCGCAACCCCACUCCAGCGGCUCGUAAAAAAAAAAAAAAAAAAGUUUCAACAACAACAGGCGGGACCAAUAGCAUCUCGAAAAGCCGGGAAAGGGGGCCGAGCAAAGGGCGAAAGAGUGGAGAAAGGAGAAAGCGGGCAGGCUCGGAGCGCGCGGGGCCGGGGCUCGGCGAGCCGGAGGAGCGUUGCUAAUGUUUUUGUUUGUUUGCUUUUCCAUGCAUGCAUAAUGAGGGGGCACCACGGCACCACGCGGGGGCUCCCGGCCCAUUUUUGUAUUUAAAGCCUCGCAGCGAGCGAGUCCGCAGCCGGGCUCAGCGGAUCCGCUCCCCGGGCUCCUUGUCACCCGAGAAGCCGCCGCCGAGGGAAGCCCGGGAGCCGCUGCUCUCCCGCCGCGCCGAGUUUCCCGUUUUCACCGUGCCGCCCGGAAAGAGCUCCCCGGAGCCGAGGCCGGGGUCGCCGCGGGCGGAGGGGGAGGGGACGCGGGCAGCCGGGCCGCGGGAAGGCGGGCAGCGCCCGGACGCGAGCCAGGAAGCGGCGCGAUGCGAGAACCCGCGGCGGCGGCGCGGCACUGAGUCCGGGAGGAAGGAGCCGCCGCGGCCGCACAACGGAUCUGCAGGCGCAGAGCAAAAUGCACCCGCGGCGCCGCGCGGUCCCGCAGCCCCGCCGCGGCCCCGCGGCCAGCAACCUCCGAGGGCGGCAGUGAACGUCUCCCGCCACUGCCGGGGGCCGACCGGAGGGGCUCUCCACGGCCGUGCACUUCUAGGAAGCCCCCGCAGCCCAAGCGAGAGCCGACCUUCUGCAAGCAGCGGGGCAACAGCCGGCGGCGCGCAUGGAUUUAUGAAAACCCUCAUGCAAGAAGUUGGCAGGACUGGGGCAAACUUUUCCGCCGGCUCUGCGUCCGCCGCUCCCCGCGCCUCGUCUCCUUUCCGCUCCUCGCCCGGCGGGGCCCGCAGGGGAACCGUGCCGGGCGCCUGGCUGUGCCUGAUGGCGCUGCUGCAGUGCCAGGGGGAGCCGGAGUGCAGCUACGCCUACAACCAGUACGCCGAGGCGUGCGCGCCGGUGCUGGCGCAGCGCGGCGGGAGCGACGUGCCGGGGGCCGCCGCCGCAGCUGCCGCCUUCCCGGCCUCGGCCGCCUCCUUUUCUUCGCGCUGGCGCUGCCCGAGCCACUGCAUCUCGGCCCUCAUUCAGCUCAACCACACGCGUCGCGGGCCCGCCUUGGAGGACUGUGACUGUGCGCAGGACGAGAACUGCAAGUCUACCAAGCGCGCCAUUGAGCCGUGCCUGCCCCGGACGAGCGGCGGCGGCGCAGGCGGCCCCGGCGCGGGCGCGGGCGGGGUUUUGGGCUGCACCGAGGCCCGGAGGCGCUGUGACCGCGACAGCCGCUGCAACCUGGCGCUUAGCCGCUACCUGACCUACUGUGGCAAGCUCUUCAACGGGCUGCGCUGCACCGACGAGUGCCGCACGGUCAUCGAGGACAUGCUGGCCAUGCCCAAGGCGGCACUGCUCAACGACUGCGUGUGCGACGGCCUGGAACGGCCCAUCUGCGAGUCGGUCAAGGAAAACAUGGCUCGCCUGUGCUUCGGCGCCGAACUGGGCAAUGGCCAGGGCAGCAGCGGCUCGGACGGGGGCCUGGACGACUACUACGACGAGGAGUACGACGACGAGCAGCGCACCGGGGGCACGGGCGGCGAGCAGCCGCUGGACGACGAUGACGGGGUCCCGCACCCGCCGCGCCGCCCGGGCGCAGGAGCAGCGGCGGCGGCGGCUGCCGCUCGGCACCCCGAAGCGCCUGGACCCUGUUCGCCUCCAUCUUGCUGCUCCCGCUGCUCUUUUAGCCCUCGCGCCCCCCGCCGUCGGCCACGGGAGGGUCGGCGACGGGGCACCUGUGGCUCGGGGACAGAGGGGUGGUCGAGGAUUUUUUUCCCAAAACGUUUUCUAGGUGGCUUCUGUCUAGCGGAUCUCUUGCCCUCGACUUGUUGCACGAUCCUCGCCUCCUCUCCGGAGCAGGACUUUUUGGUUAUCCUUCCCUGCCCCCAUUCCAGGCUCCAGAAACUCCCCGCAGAAGCCGGCCUAGCUCCAGACCCCUGGGAUGAAACGGGCCUGGCAAGGGGACAGAACCGUUGUCCUGGACUCCGAAGAGAGAAUGAUGACCAGUGGGGCCUUAAGAGUUUCUAG
rnacentral:lncRNA from 1 species